rnacentral:ncRNA from 2 species
UCCAUAUUGAACAUAUGAAGUGCUGACUGUAAUCCGCGUAGCAGUCAGAAGAGGGAAUCAGGUGAGAAUCCUGAGCGAUCCGGUCACUGUAACAGAGGAGCGACUUUUCGAUAUCCCAUUGUACGAUAGUAUGAGAAGGGGAAAAGAAGUGAUGAUCCUGAAGUCAGGAAACCUGCUUUGUAUGGCGAGGUUAA